rnacentral:lncRNA from 1 species
GGUUUCAUGAAUUACUGUAUAUUGUAUCUAAAGAAAAUUUUUCUUAAGUUUACAAUGCUUAAGGAAAUAAUGUGAACUAUCCUUCCAAGGAACAGCUUCCAUAGAUGAGGUACAUUAAUCCACAGUGAGUGAGCUCCACAAUUGUUGGAGUCCCAUUGCUCGACUAGAAUGGAAACAGGCCUGUAUGGAAAGAAAAGUCUAAUUAAAGUUUGAGGUGAAUCCUUUUUCAGAGGAGGGUAAUGGCGAUUGCAUCCAAGGCCUAGCACUCUACCACUGAACUAUAUGUCCAGCCCCUGAGGUGUGUGUCUUUAUACAAUUAUCUGGAGCAGCUGUUUAACUAAUGAAGUGGAGUACAAGACAUGUGAGGUCUCUCAAUCUAGAGGGAGGUGCAGGUGUUGGUGGGUGUGAUAGGUUUUCCUCACUAUGACCAAAAUACUGGACAAGAACAACACAGAAUAGGCCAAGUUCAUUUUGGCUCAUGGUUUCAAGGGUGGGCUGAGUCCAUAUCUCUAGGCCCAAGAUGAGGCCGAACAUCAUGGCAGCAGAGUGUGGUGGAGCAGCACUUCUUCAAUCAUGCAGGGCCAGGAAACAGAGAUAGUAAGAGGAAGGGGCCAGGAAAAGAUGCAACCUUUCAGGACAUGCCCUCAGUGACCCACCUCCUCUAGCCACACCCCACCUACCUACAGUUAGCACCUAGUCCAUUCAAACUAGGACUGAUUAGGUUACAGGUCUCAAAAUAUGAUCAUUUCUCCUCUGAAUAUUUCUGAAUUGUUACAGGAGCUUUCAGUGGACACCUUACAUCCAGACCACAGCAGUGGGUAAGGCUUUG